UGCUAGGCUUGACCGGGAUGCUCGGCGUAUCCUUGUAUACCGAAAUCGUCGAUAUGCGGAGGUGACAGCGGAGGACGACGCGGCUCUAACCUGGAGGCCUGGUAUCACAACAAUGAGACCCUGUCCACCGGGGUAGGUGUGAGUGGCUGUGUUCGAUCGGAGGAUCGUUACCACCACUCUAAUUGCGGGGACUGGGCCAGGCCCUGACGGGAGCAGCCUUACCGCAAACUACCGACGCUCGGAGGGUAGCGGGGUUGAGAAGUGAUACCAGAUACCUCUUGGCCAAGAGCGCGGCAACCUCCGUGGCCUAGCA
rnacentral:SRP_RNA from 1 species